UAGUCUCUCAUCAAGAAGCCCUGGCUCA
rnacentral:piRNA from 1 species